rnacentral:misc_RNA from 1 species
AACACCCUUUUAAUGCNAUGUANAGUGUUCUUUUGCGAUGACUCGCANUAAAUACNACUUUCAACAACGGAUCUCUUGGCUCUCGCAUCGAUGAAGAACGCANCGAANUGCNAUACGUANUGUGAAUUGCAGAAUUCAGUGAAUCNUCGAAUCUUUGAACGCACCUUGCGCCCCUUGGNNUUCCGAGGGGCACACCCGUUUGAGUGUCGUGACAUUCUCAAAAAGAACCCUUCUUGGUCUUGCGAUCGGGAAAGGCUUUUUUUUGGACUUUGGAGGUUAUUGCUGGUCCCCCCUUGAUAGCCAGCUCCUCUUAAAUGAAUUANUAGGGACCGCUUUGCUGACCCUAGACGUGAUAAGAUGUUUCUGCGUCUUGGGGUAUUCGCUCUGUCCUUUGGAAACCUGCUUCUAACCGUCUUGUCAAAAGACAGCGUUCGAGCCUUUCUUGUUGAUCGGGGAAGGCUUGACUCAUGAACCUUGACCUCAAAUCGGGUGAGACUACCCGCUGAACUUAAGCAUAUCAAUAAGCGGA